UCCAUGGCAAACGCCACGUUCCUUGCUCAGGUGGCAAAGACCAGCCAUCCUGGUUGGUCUGUGGGGAGCUGAUUUCACAGGGUGCCUUUGGCCCAGCAGUGAAAUGCAGCUGUCUCUGGGGAGGAUUGCUUUGCAGUUAUGGGGAACUGAGUCUGGCAGAGAGUGACUUGCCCAAGGCCAUACAAUAAAAGGCCAUAGUAGUCGUGCCCGCAAGAUUCAGCAUCCGUUGGGCUACACUUGAGCCUGUUGCUUUGUGUCCUGUUCUUAGUGGAUAUCGUGAGAACAGUCCUCAGUCCUUCCUCUUCUGCCUGACGUUCUUCCAAAUACUCAAAACCUCUCAACAGAUCCCCUUUUAAUCUUUCCUCUGGGCUAAACAUGCCAAUUUCCUCCAGCCUUUCCUCAUGCGAUUUGUCUUCUAAACAUUUGUCAUCUGUGCAGCUCUUCUCUGAAUCCUUUCCAAUUGAUCUGCAUCCUUUUUGAGUUGCUCUGCUCAGAACUGAACACUGUACUUCAAAAGGAGACCUUCCCAGAGCCCUACUGUGUGCCACUUCCUGAGCCUUGGAUAUAAUUGUGCUUCGGCGUUAUUCUGUGGACUUGUGCAUCUGUUAAUGUGUCCAAAGUUAUCUCUGCAAAUGUGAGGGCUAGAGCAUGCUUCCUUGAAAAACAAAAACCCAAAUGCAUACAACUUGGUUAGAAGGAAAUACUAAUGACCUGCCGUUGAAGGAGCUGUUGGCCUAAUUGACAUAUAAGUUUCUUUUUAGAACAAUGUUUAACCAGAAUGGUGUGUGAUUGUAUUGAUUACUGUUCAAAGUGGUGGGGCUUUCACUAUGCAUACUUGUCCCCUUUGCAUGUAUUUCCUCUUCAGAAUGGCUUGGCAGAAUUUGAAAUGUAUAUUGCUAAUUUUGUAGAAUGUGCUCAUCUUUCUUGCCCCCAAGGCCCUAGCUGUUUUGUUUGAUGAAUGGGAAAAGGUCACAGACCUUCAAAGCACACAUCUGGCAGUUAAGAUUGUCAGAGGAGGCUUUGCUCCAGGGGCCCGCCUGUGAGGGAGACAUUAACAAUGGGAGUGCUCAGCAUGGCCUUCUCUCUGCUGGUGCCUUCCUAAAGAGGCCCAUAAUGCAUUUUAUCUGCAUGUUACUAGCUCAGUUAAAACUCAUCUCUUCUGUCAGGCAUUUGAGAAUAUCUGAGGAGAAUGCUGUUGGUGCUGCUGCUGCUGCUGGUUUUUUUGGUAGACAUUUUAGUAGACCUGAACUGGUUUUAUUCUGAUAAUUGUUGUAUGCCAUUUGGUUUGUAAUUUGCAGUGUUAUUAUUGUUGUACAUUGCUUUGAUUGUUUGUGGAGAAGUGACCAAUAAAUGUAGUCAGUAGUCA